GGACGAACGCUGGCGGCGUGCUUAACACAUGCAAGUCGAACGGAAAGGCCCUGCUUUUGUGGGGUGCUCGAGUGGCGAACGGGUGAGUAACACGUGAGUAACCUGCCCUUGACUUUGGGAUAACUUCAGGAAACUGGGGCUAAUACCGGAUAGGAGCUCCUGCUGCCUGGGGGGGGUGGGAAAGUUUCGGCGGUUGGGGAUGGACUCGCGGCUGAUCAGCUUGUUGGUGGGGUAGUGGCUUACCAAGGCUUUGACGGGUAGCCGGCCUGAGAGGGUGACCGGCCACAUUGGGACUGAGAUACGGCCCAGACUCCUACGGGAGGCAGCAGUGGGGAAUAUUGCACAAUGGGCGGAAGCCUGAUGCAGAAACGCCGCGUGCGGGAUGACGGCCUUCGGGUUGUAAACCGCUUUCGCCUGUGACGAAGCGUGAGUGACGGUAAUGGGUAAAGAAGCACCGGCUAACUACGUG
rnacentral:rRNA from 1 species